GAUAAGGAGCUUGCUCCUUUGACGUUAGCGGCGGACGGGUGAGUAACACGUGGGUAACCUACCUAUAAGACUGGGACAACUUCGGGAAACCGGAGCUAAUACCGGAUAAUAUGUUGAACCGCAUGGUUCAAUAGUGAAAGAUGGUUUUGCUAUCACUUAUAGAUGGACCCGCGCCGUAUUAGCUAGUUGGUGAGGUAACGGCUCACCAAGGCAACGAUACGUAGCCGACCUGAGAGGGUGAUCGGCCACACUGGAACUGAGACACGGUCCAGACUCCUACGGGAGGCAGCAGUAGGGAAUCUUCCGCAAUGGGCGAAAGCCUGACGGAGCAACGCCGCGUGAGUGAUGAAGGUCUUAGGAUCGUAAAACUCUGUUAUUAGGGAAGAACAAACGUGUAAGUAACUGUGCACGUCUUGACGGUACCUAAUCAGAAAGCCACGGCUAACUACGUGCCAGCAGCCGCGGUAAUACGUAGGUGGCAAGCGUUAUCCGGAAUUAUUGGGCGUAAAGCGCGCGUAGGCGGUUUUUUAAGUCUGAUGUGAAAGCCCACGGCUCAACCGUGGAGGGUCAUUGGAAACUGGAAAACUUGAGUGCAGAAGAGGAAAGUGGAAUUCCAUGUGUAGCGGUGAAAUGCGCAGAGAUAUGGAGGAACACCAGUGGCGAAGGCGACUUUCUGGUCUGUAACUGACGCUGAUGUGCGAAAGCGUGGGGAUCAAACAGGAUUAGAUACCCUGGUAGUCCACGCCGUAAACGAUGAGUGCUAAGUGUUAGGGGGUUUCCGCCCCUUAGUGCUGCAGCUAACGCAUUAAGCACUCCGCCUGGGGAGUACGACCGCAAGUUG
rnacentral:rRNA from 1 species